GUGAGGAAUAUUGCGCAAUGGAGGCAACUCUGACGCAGCCAUGCCGCGUGCAGGAAGAAGGCGCUACGCGUUGUAAACUGCUUUUAACCGGGAAGAAACCCCAGGACGUGUCCUGGGUUGACGGUACCGGAGGAAUAAGCACCGGCUAACUUCGUGCCAGCAGCCGCCGUAAUACGAAGGGUGCAAGCGUUAUCCGGAUUCAUUGGGUUUAAAGGGUGCGUAGGCGGAGCGUUAAGUCAGUGGUGAAAUCCUGCAGCUUAACUGUAGACUUGCCAUUGAUACUGGCGCUCUUGAGUGCGCUUGAAGUUCGCGGAAUGUGCCGUGUAGCGGUGAAAUGCUUAGGUAUGGCACAGAACACCAAUUGCGAUGGCAGCUCACUAAGGCGAUACUGACGCUGAGGCACGAAAGCGUGGGGAUCGAACAGGAUUAGAAACCCGUGUAGUCC
rnacentral:rRNA from 1 species